AGUGAACGCUGGCGGUAGGCCUAACACAUGCAAGUCGACCGAGUGGCGGACGGGUGAGUAAUACAUCGGAAUCUCCUCUGUCGUGGGGGAUAACGAAUGGAAACUUACGCUAAUACCGCAUACUAUUUAAUGAGCCCAUGUCGGAUUAGCUAGUUGGCGGGGUAAAGGCCCACCAAGGCGACGAUCCGUAGCUGGUCUGAGAGGAUGAUCAGCCACAAUGGAACGGAGACACGGUCCAGACUCCUACGGGAGGCAGCAGUGGGGAAUAUUGGACAAUGGGCGCAAGCCUGAUCCAGCCAUACCGCGUGUGUGAAGAAGGCCUUCGGGUUGUAAAGCCCUUUUGUUGGGAAAGCGGUACCCAAAGAAUAAGCACCGGCUAACUUCGUGCCAGCAGCCGCGGUAAUUC
rnacentral:rRNA from 1 species